CUCCUCCGCUUUUGUGUUAUCCGAUGUCAAUCUUUACUGCAGCCUUCGCCACCGAUCUACCGGAUUUCUUCAAGAUUCUAAAACUUGUGAUUUUCAAUUUCUUACAUGUUAUGUUUUUUAGCAUAUUUUUCCUGUUUUUUUUUUUCCUUAUUUUUUCCUAUUAUGUCAUAGAAUGUGAUUCCUAUUCAUCGUCAUUUUAUU
rnacentral:lncRNA from 1 species